rnacentral:rRNA from 1 species
UACGUAGGGUGCGAGCGUUAAUCGGAAUUACUUGGCGUAAAGCGUGCGCAGGCGGUUUUGCAAGCCGGAUGUGAAAUCCCCGGGCUCAACCUGGGAAUGGCAUUCGGGACUGCAAGGCUGGAGUGCGGCAGAGGAGACUGGAAUUCCUGGUGUAGCAGUGAAAUGCGUAGAUAUCAGGAGGAAUACCGAUGGCGAAGGCAGGUCUCUGGGCUGACACUGACGCUCAUGCACGAAAGCGUGGGGAGCAAACAGG